rnacentral:rRNA from 1 species
UUGAAAGGGAAACGAUUGAAGUCAGUCGUACCGAUGAGAAAUCAGCUCUUUGAGUGUGGACUUGUGGGCGUGCGUGAGCUUUACGGUCUCGCUGUUUGCAAUGUUUGUGCUUUUUGGGUGUACUUUUUCGUAUGGUAGGCCAACAUCAGUUUCGAAUACCAUAAAAUGACCGGCGGAAUGUAGCUUCUAUCUCGUAUUGAAGUGUUAUAGCCUCUGGUAGAUGUGGUGUCUGGGACUGAGGAUUGCAACGAAUAUCCUUUGGGCUAUCCGUCUGAUCUCUGAAAGUUGCUUAGGUGCCGAAAGCUUGCUUACGGUCAUUCAAGUUGGCGGUCAAAAGGUUAGAACGCGAUUAAAUUCGUUAAGGAUGUUGACGUA